rnacentral:rRNA from 1 species
UACGUAGGGUGCGAGCGUUAAUCGGAAUUACUGGGCGUAAAGCGUGCGCAGGCGGUUUUGUAAGCCAGAUGUGAAGUCCCCGGGCUCAACCUGGGAAUGGCAUUUGGGGACUGCAAGGCUGGAGUGCGGCAGAGGAGACUGGAAUUCCUGGUGUAGCAGUGAAAUGCGUAGAUAUCAGGAGGAAUACCGAUGGCGAAGGCAGGUCUCUGGGCUGACACUGACGCUCAUGCACGAAAGCGUGGGGAGCAAACAGG